rnacentral:rRNA from 1 species
UACGUAGGGGGCGAGCGUUAUCCGGAUUCACUGGGUGUAAAGGGAGCGUAGACGGCCAUGCGAGCCAGGGGUGAAAGCCCGGGGCCCAACCCCGGGACUGCCCUUGGAACUGCAUGGCUGGAGUGCGGGAGGGGCAGGCGGAAUUCCUGGUGUAGCGGUGAAAUGCGUAGAUAUCAGGAGGAACACCGGCGGCGAAGGCGGCCUGCUGGACCGCGACUGACGUUGAGGCUCGAAAGCGUGGGGAGCGAACAGG